AUGAAGACGAUGAGAGACCGGAGCAGGGAGUGUGCGAGUCGCAGUUAGGGUUUAGAUCGAGGAGUCGCCGGAGGAGCGGAAGAGACGUUUGGGAGAAACCUCUAGGGUUUUGGAUUUUAGAUUGAAAAAUAAAAAGUGUUUGAAUAUUACAAAGAAUAGCUAUUUAUACUAAACCCUAAAAUCUAACUUAACUUAAUGGGCCAACAUUAGUUGGGCCUGACCUAGCUUAUGG
rnacentral:lncRNA from 1 species